rnacentral:rRNA from 1 species
GACGAACGCUGGCGGCGUGCUUAACACAUGCAAGUCGAACGGUGAAGCGCCUUCCUUUUUGGUGGGUGUGGAUGAGUGGCGAACGGGUGAGUAACACGUGAGUAACCUGCCCCCUUCUUCUGGAUAACCGCAUGAAAGUGUGGCUAAUACGGGAUAUUCUGGGUCUGUCGCAUGAUGGGUCUGGGAAAGAUAUUGUUUCGGUGGGGGAUGGGCUCGCGGCCUAUCAGCUUGUUGGUGGGGUGAUGGCCUACCAAGGCGGUGACGGGUAGCCGGCCUGAGAGGGUGGACGGUCACACUGGGACUGAGCCACGGCCCAGACUCCUACGGGAGGCAGCAGUGGGGAAUAUUGCACAAUGGGCGCAAGCCUGAUGCAGCGACGCCGCGUGAGGGAUGGAGGCCUUCGGGUUGUGAACCUCUUUCGCCAGUGAAGCAGGCCUGCCUCGUUUGUGGGUGGGUUGACGGUAGCUGGAGAAGAAGCGCCGGCUAACUACGUG